rnacentral:rRNA from 1 species
GGGGGGGGGGGGGGGGGGGCGGGGGAGGGGGGGGGCGGGCGGGGGGGGGGGGGGGGGCGGGGGUGCUCGAGUGGCGAACGGGGGGGUAACACGUGGGUAAUCUGCCCUGCACUCUGGGAUAAGCCUGGGAGACUGGGUCUAAUACUGGAUAUGACCUUUCUCCUUAUGGGGUUUGGUGGAAAGUUUUUCGGUGUAGGAUGAGCCCGCGGCCUAUCAGCUUGUUGGUGGGGUGAUGGCCUACCAAGGCGACGACGGGUAGCCGGCCUGAGAGGGUGAUCGGCCACAUUGGGACUGAGAUACGGCCCAGACUCCUACGGGAGGCAGCAGUGGGGAAUAUUGCACAAUGGGCGGAAGCCUGAUGCAGCGACGCCGCGUGAGGGAUGACGGCCUUCGGGUUGUAAACCUCUUUCAGCAGGGACGAAGCGUAAGUGACGGUACCUGCAGAAGAAGCACCGGCUAACUAUGUG